CAAUACGUUACUUCACGUAUCAACCCAGACUGUUGAACUGUUUGAAUGCGUCCGAUAGGAAAGACAUUUUAUGGGUUACGAGAGACUGGCGGCUUUGAAGUUGUGCACUUCGGUUCGGUUUUUCUCUUUUUUGUUUCUGAGCAAUCGGAGCAAAAGCCCGGUUUUUUCCUAGUUCGCGUAUUUAUUUUUUACAUUUUUUAACCCCUUUCACCAAACUAUUAUUUCAACAACCAAUUGAACUGAAUUCGAAGGAUGCUGAAAAAGCGUCUAUUUCGAUUCUAUCUUUUACGAAACGUAAGAA
rnacentral:misc_RNA from 1 species